rnacentral:rRNA from 1 species
UACGUAGGGGGCAAGCGUUGUCCGGAUUUAUUGGGCGUAAAGAGCGUGUAGGCGGCUUUACAGGUCCGUUGUGAAAACUCGAGGCUCAACCUCGAGACGCCGGUGGAAACCGUAAGGCUAGAGUCCGGAAGAGGAGAGUGGAAUUCCUGGUGUAGCGGUGAAAUGCGCAGAUAUCAGGAAGAACCCCCGUGGCGAAGGCGGCUCUCUGGGACGGUACUGACGCUGAGACGCGAAAGCGUGGGGAGCGAACAGG